AGUAUCGGUACUGGAGGAAGAACCGGAGCAUCAUAUCCGGGUGUGGCAGUAGCCGUGGUGCUGAUCUCAACCGGAACUUUGACUCCAUGUGGGGAGGGUCAGGGUCGAGCGGGUUGUGCUCGUCAGACAGCUACAGAGGGCCGUCAGUGUUCUCGGAGAUAGAGACACAGAACAUUCGGGACAAGGUCAAGGACAUUCAGAAUGAGCGUGGACCAAUCAGUGCCACUCCUUCUCACAGCUCCUUCUGACGCCAUACGGUUUCGCCAAGAACACGUACCCUCCUAACAGGGAUCACAUACUCGAGACGUCGAAUUUGACGUCGAUGCGAUAUUUGCUUCUGACGGAAGAACGUAU